rnacentral:rRNA from 1 species
GCGUUGUCCGGAAUUAUUGGGCGUAAAGAGCUCGUAGGCGGUGUGUCACGUCGGCCGUGAAAACCUGGGGCUCAACUCUGGGCGUGCGGUCGAUACGGGCAUCACUUGAGUUCGGUAGGGGAGACUGGAAUUCCUGGUGUAGCGGUGAAAUGCGCAGAUAUCAGGAGGAACACCGGUGGCGAAGGCGGGUCUCUGGGCCGAUACUGACGCUGAGGAGCGAAAGCAU